AAUAUAGGGGAUGGGGAGGGAAAUAUAGGAGGGGGAUAUAAUGGGAAAAAAUAUUAGACCUGGUGCUCAAAGCAAAUUGGCUACUUAAUAUGCAUUGUUGACACACCCCUGCCAACUCCUCCUCUCACCCAGCAAAUCCCCCAUUUCCCCUCCUCCUUCGACAGAGAAGAAUGGGCAAUAUCCUUGGGCAAUUUCCGCAUUUUUCUGUUCCAAAUUCCCAUAUUGUCCUAUUAGCCCUCUCCUCCAAUCAGAUGCUUCAGUUUGUUCCAAAUUGGAGAAAGAGAGCAAAAAUACACCAAUGAAGAGCCAAGCUUGUUCCAAAAGUUUUUAAGCCAAUCAUCUUCCUCUGAAAUGUUCCUAACGUCACUUCAUCACAAAAUCUUUUUCUGUCAGCCAUUGAUGCUACUCGGUGAGUAUCUAAGGUAAUUUUGCUUCAUUUGCAACGAAUGUAGCGUGGAGGACUAUACAUGUGAUGAAAUAUGAGAAUAACAUGUCUAGUCAACCGCCUUGUUUGACUACAGGGGCUUCCCAAACUGUAAUUUAAUAACUUUCUUAUAUCGCUAGCUACUGUAGCCUGCUGCUGCACAGGCAGGUUAGCAUUGGCUAUAAAUAUUUUUCUGUCAGCCAUCGAUGCUACUCGGUGAGUAUAUGAGGUAAUUGUGCUUAAUUUGCAACAAAUGAUGACUAAAUGUGAUGAGUUUAAUUUAACAAAGGUUGUAUAUCGCAAACUACUGUAGGUGGACAAAACUCAAAGUUUAUUUGACCACUGACAAUCCUGUAAAACCUUAGCUAACAUCUAUAUCAACUCAGUUGGAAUUCUAUACUAUUUGUCUAUUUUCCUUAGUUUUUUGAUGGCAUGCAUUUGAAGUGUAUGUAGUUGAAUGCAUUGUAUUGAUGGUCUUUGGGGCAAACGUGUCUUUCUAUGUAAACUGAAUUUAACUGCAUGUGAAAUAAUAAUCACCCUAAUCCUACCCAUAACCCCCAAACCCCCCUCACUGGUGUCCUCCUCCGAGCAGACUUAUCAAGCAAACAUAAGUUCCUUUAUAUGUAUCUAAUAUGGUUAUGCUGUCACUUGUCACUGCACUCAUCAGUCAUGAUAAUAGUAUUUUUCUUGCCUCCUAAGAUGGAAAAUCCAAGGUUCUGUUUUCACGCCCUCACGGGAGUUGGUCCUCAAGGCCCCAGGCAGUAAAUGUGGCCGCUGACGGCCCCCCUGUUUCUGGUGCUCAGGGCCCUCCCGUGAGGACGCCCUGACUCGCUGAGAUGGUCAGGUUCAACCGGGCGCACGAGGAAGCUAAAGUCCUGUCCUCCCAGCCAGGCCAGGAGGACAAGGCCCUUGUUGGCAUCAGGAAGUACAAGUGUCAACCGCCUUGUUGACACUUGUACCCACCUCUUCAAGGAAUACCUAGGAUAGGGUAAGUAAGGAUAUGUCAGGAGCUUGAGGACGCAGACACCCCGUUAUCCUGGGAGUGCGAUGGCCGCCUUGAUUGACUACAUUCAGCGCAGAGACCAGGAGGGGGUAGCUGCUGUGGCCAGGCCGGCCAGCACCAUCCGGCCCAAGAGUGCGGCUACGUAAGUGUAGGGGCCGGACUCUGAUUGGCUACGUAAGUGUAGGGGCCUGACCCUGAUUGGCGACGUAAGUGUAGGGGCCGGACCCUGAUUGGCGACGUAAGUGUAGGGGCCGGACCCUGAUUGGCUACGUAAGUGUAGGGGCCGGACCCUGAUUGGCUACGUAAGUGUAGGGGCCGGACCCUGAUUGGCUACGUAAGUGUAGGGGCCGGACCCUGAUUGGCUACGUAAGUGUAGGGGCCGGACCCUGAUUGGCUAUGUAAGUGUAGGGGCCGGACCCUGAUUGUUACAUGUUAUUUGAACGAACACAUUCAUUUGUUGGGUAAUUGCUUUUCUUUUAAUUAACUGAAGUUGUAUUGAUUUAUUGUUUGGAUUGUUUAUUUUGAUUAGAUAAACAAAAUGUACGGCCUAAAAAAAUAGAUUAAAACAAAUAAAGAAAUCACCUUUGGGGAACCGCCUGUUCAAAACUGGAGGCCACCAUGGACGGCUGUCAGGUGUGGAGGUGGGUCCUUGUGUUUUCAGAACUGGAGGUUAUUUGUUGAACUUUAAGAGUGUAUGACAAUAAAUCAAAAUGAAUUUAAGGGAGAAA